GACGAACGCUGGCGGCGUGCUUAACACAUGCAAGUCGAACGGAAAGGCCCUGCUUUUGUGGGGUGCUCGAGUGGCGAACGGGUGAGUAACACGUGAGUAACCUGCCCUUGACUUUGGGAUAACUUCAGGAAACUGGGGCUAAUACCGGAUAGGAGCUCCUGCUGCAUGGUGGGGGUUGGAAAGUUUCGGCGGUUGGGGAUGGACUCGCGGCUUAUCAGCUUGUUGGUGGGGUAGUGGCUUACCAAGGCUUUGACGGGUAGCCGGCCUGAGAGGGUGACCGGCCACAUUGGGACUGAGAUACGGCCCAGACUCCUACGGGAGGCAGCAGUGGGGAAUAUUGCACAAUGGGCGGAAGCCUGAUGCAGCAACGCCGCGUGCGGGAUGACGGCCUUCGGGUUGUAAACCGCUUUCGCCUGUGACGAAGCGUGAGUGACGGUAAUGGGUAAAGAAGCACCGGCUAACUACGUGCCAGCAGCCGCGGUGAUACGUAGGGUGCGAGCGUUGUCCGGAUUUAUUGGGCGUAAAGGGCUCGUAGGUGGUUGAUCGCGUCGGAAGUGUAAUCUUGGGGCUUAACCCUGAGCGUGCUUUCGAUACGGGUUGACUUGAGGAAGGUAGGGGAGAAUGGAAUUCCUGGUGGAGCGGUGGAAUGCGCAGAUAUCAGGAGGAACACCAGUGGCGAAGGCGGUUCUCUGGGCCUUUCCUGACGCUGAGGAGCGAAAGCGUGGGGAGCGAACAGGCUUAGAUACCCUGGUAGUCCACGCUGUAAACGGUGGGUACUAGGUGUGGGGUCCAUUCCACGGGUUCCGUGCCGUAGCUAACGCUUUAAGUACCCCGCCUGGGGAGUACGGCCGCAAGGUUAAAACUCAAAGGAAUUGACGGGGCCCCGCACAAGCGGCGGAGCAUGCGGAUUAAUUCGAUGCAACGCGUAGAACCUUACCUGGGUUUGACAUGGAUCGGGAGUGCUCAGAGAUGGGUGUGCCUCUUUUGGGGUCGGUUCACAGGUGGUGCAUGGCUGUCGUCAGCUCGUGUCGUGAGAUGUUGGGUUAAGUCCCGCAACGAGCGCAACCCUUGUUCACUGUUGCCAGCACGUUAUGGUGGGGACUCAGUGGAGACCGCCGGGGUCAACUCGGAGGAAGGUGGGGAUGACGUCAAGUCAUCAUGUCCCUUAUGUCCAGGGCUUCACGCAUGCUACAAUGGCUGGUACAGAGAGUGGCGAGCCUGUGAGGGUGAGCGAAUCUCGGAAAGCCGGUCUCAGUUCGGAUUGGGGUCUGCAACUCGACCUCAUGAAGUCGGAGUCGCUAGUAAUCGCAGAUUAGCAACGCUGCGGUGAAUACGUUCCCGGG
rnacentral:rRNA from 1 species